UGUGGUGUAGCUCAGAGGUAGAGUACUUGCCUAGGGUGCUGAAGGCCCUGGGUUUGAUCCCUAGCCCCACAA
rnacentral:tRNA from 1 species